UUCACCAGCUGUUUGUCAGUCCGCUCUCAGAUCUCACGCCGAUCGGUCAGAACACACAGCUCCGGACAGGUCCUUCUUUUUUCGUUCAAAGCAGAUCAAAUCAAGCUCGGUGACGUCAUGGGUUGCAGCGGCUCCAAAAGCGCGUCCGAUCCGAAGACGGAAGGAGAAGCGCCCCCUGCAAACAGUGGGGGCGGGGAUGCGCCACCAGCUGAGGAGCAGAGAGAUAUGGCCUUUGAACUCUUCGCGGACGACAGUGAGGGGCGCACGAGAGAUCGUCCAUUUUGAUGAACGGAUCCCGUGGGGGGGAAAAACUCUGACAAAAGGAUCUGCAAUGUUUACUAAAAUGUUUUUGCAUAUAACUCAAUACAUGAAUAUUAUGUACUGCCUCAGCGAUAUACGCGAUCGCUGAAAUCAAUAAUGACUGCAUGAAUGACUCCUUUGUUUGAGAGGCUCCCUAUAUUCCAAAGCCUACCCCCGCCUCCCUUCCCUCACCCAACCUCUCUUCAACCAGUUCUUCCACAUUUUCUUCCACCCCCACCCCAACCCACCCCUUAACCCCUGACCAUCUAUUCUUUAUACAAAACCAAAAUAACAUGAAGAUCAGUAAUGUUUUGUGAGUAUGGUCUCAUUUAUUAUAAAACGUUUUUCUCUGCUUGGAGACAGCACCCAACCUGCGUUUAUACAUUGAACGGUAAACAGCUUCUUUUUCCCCGUGUGUGUCUUUGGUAUAAAACUGCUGACCUAAUUCUGUUAUGCAUGCGUGCGUCAGUGGAGAGAAUGAGUAAAAAUAUCCCUGUGUUUGAGCUAGUGGAAAGGCAUGUUAUCCAUGUCUUCUUCUGUAAAUUGUUUAUACAUCGAUGAAUGUCUCUAUUUAACAAGUCAUGCUAAGGUGCAUAAACUUUAAGUGGGAAGGCAAGCAGAAACUCACACUAGCUUUUGGAGCAUGUCGCUUCUUGUUAUGUCAGCAUUUUUUUUUGGUCCUGACAAACAGCAGAAAUUCAACCUCCAAAAUCGCUAGUAAGUUUUCAAGAGACAUUCGUAUGAGGUUGCUAUUUUGGCCACCAAACAGAACGACAUUAAACAAUGAACAUAGGAAGAUAGCAAUCGCCUCAUCAUAAUUCACAUGAUACCCUGCUUUUUUGUCAUCUUUAAAAUUUUAAAAAAAUAAAAAUUUUGGUAAUUAAAGUUCAUGUGAUGUCAUAUUGGUAUAAACUUUAGAUAAGAAAAUGUAUUCAUUUUGAUGUGAAUUUAUACCUUCUAACCCUCUUUGGUAGCCUUUGUUGAAUACAAUAAUCUAUAGCAGGCUCCUACGAUCCUCUAUACAAGAAUGUAUAUAUGUCCAUCGGGAAUGUAUUAUGGUAGCCUUUAGAAAAAAGAAAAAACAAAAAAACAAAACAACUACCUGCUCAUUAUACGCCUGAAGAAAGUAGCCUUCUCACAGAAUUGUUACAAUUGUUUGUUAAGUUGUCCUGGUUGAAAAUAAUAUCCGUCCAUUACUCUUUCCUGUUUAUCUUUGUUUUCAAUCUUGCCAGAUGCCCGUGUGCUCUUCGAAUGAAAAAAAUAUUACACAUUAAAAGUUGCAGUCAAUCCAGCUUCCUUCGGCGAAGAAUGUUUUCCUAUCAUCUUUUAAUGUGCUCUUGAAUUAAGAAAAUAUUGCUCAUUAAAAUGUCAGUUUCAAAACAUGC